AUAAAAAACCAACCUGGGCAACCAGUUUUUUGGUGAUUCAUAAUAACUUUUCGAAUCGUAUGGCUUUACGCCGGCGAUGUUUCAUUCAAAUUUCUGCCCUAUCAACUGUCGAUGGUAGGAUAGAGGCCUACCAUGGUUAUAACGGGUAACGGAGAAUUAGGGUUCGAUUCCGGAGAGGGAGCCUGAGAAACGGCUACCACAUCCAAGGAAGGCAGCAGGCGCGCAAAUUACCCAAUCCCGACACGGGGAGGUAGUGACAAUAAAUAACGAUGUAGGGCCCUUUUGGGUCUUAUAAUUGGAAUGAGUACAAUUUAAAUCCCUUAACGAGGAACAAUUGGAGGGCAAGUCUGGUGCCAGCAGCCGCGGUAAUUCCAGCUCCAAUAGCGUAUAUUAAAGUUGUUGCAGUUAAAAAGCUCGUAGUUGAACUUCAGACCUGGCCGGAUGGUCUGCCUAACGGUAUGUACUGUCUGGCUGGGCCUUACCUCUUGGUGAGCCGGCAUGCCCUUCACUGGGUGUGUC
rnacentral:rRNA from 1 species